rnacentral:rRNA from 1 species
GACGAACGCUGGCGGCAUGCCUAACACAUGCAAGUAGAACGGAGAUUAUUUCGAUAAUCUUAGUGGCGAACGGGGGAGUAACGCGUGGGCAACCUGCCCUCUAGAUGGGGACAACAUCCCGAAAGGGGUGCUAAUACCGAAUGUAACAGCAAUCUCGCAUGAGGAUGCUGUGAAAGAUGGCCUGUAUAUAAAAGCCAUCGAUAGAGGAUUGGCCCGCAUCUGAUUAGCUAGUUGGUGGGGUAACGGCCUACCAAGGCGAUGAUCAGUAGCCGGGCUGAGAGGAUUAACGGCCACAUUGGGACUGAGACACGGCCCAGACUCCUACGGGAGGCAGCAGUGGGGAAUCUUCCGCAAUGGGCGAAAGCCUGACGGAGCAAUGCCGCGUGAGUGAUGAAGGAAUUCGUUCCGUAAAGCUCUUUUGUUUAUGACGAAUGUGCAAGUUGUGAAUAAUGACUUGUAAUGACGGUAGUAAACGAAUAAGCCACGGCUAACUACGUGCCAGCCGCCGCUGUAA